rnacentral:rRNA from 1 species
UGGGGAAUAUUGCGCAAUGGGCGAAAGCCUGACGCAGCGACGCCGCGUGGAGGAUGAAGGUCUUCGGAUUGUAAACUUCUGUUAAGUGGGAAAAAAGUACCAUUCUUAAUACGAAUGGUAGAUGAUGGUACCACUAGAGAAAGCACCGGCUAAUCUCGUGCCAGCAGCCGCGGUAAUACGAGAGGUGCAAGCGUUAUUCGGAAUUAUUGGGCGUAAAGGGUGCGUAGACGGUUUGCUAAGUCUGUUGUUAAAUCUUUCGGCUUAACCGAAAAUCUGCAAUGGAAACUGGCAGGCUAGAGUGUGAAAGAGAGAAGUGGAAUUCUUGGAGUAGCGGUAAAAUGCGUAGAUCUCAAGAGGAACACCGAUGGCGAAGGCAGCUUCUUGGUUCACUACUGACGUU